AUUACGUUUUAUGUGAAUCUUAUUUAUCAUAUGACCUUCUUUAUGUUUAUUUUUGUGCGGUCUGAUAACUUGAUAACAUUGAUAUACAAUGUUUUCACGUAAUGGUCAUCCGAGGCAUUAGACAUAUCCACACAGAAAUAUGAGAAUCUAUAUGGCUAUAUGCAAAGGAACGGCUAUAUGCAAAGGAACAGAAUUAAAGUGUUGACUUAAAUUGCUAGCAUAUCAUGAUGUGGUUGGUGUACUAGAUGACGAAAGAAUAUAUGGAAUAAAGAAUUGUUUGUUAAAAUUAAGUUAAACAAGUUUCAAAAUACAUAAGUAAUAUAA
rnacentral:sRNA from 1 species